rnacentral:lncRNA from 1 species
UAGAAUUAAGACACUGAGUGGGAAGAGAGAUACAAAUAUGUCCAUAGAAAUAUGGAAGGUUUUAAGCCAGAAAAUCCUUAAAUGAAGGUCUGUAGCAGUAUCUCUCCAGAUAUUUAAAAAUACAAUGAUCACCAAAAUAUGCUAUAAAUGUUUAAAAUGGACUCCUAUCGAAAGUUCAGAGGUUAAAGAUGAUGUUGUUUAUGGUACUCCUAGAAAUUGAUUCUUCUUUAUUUUUUCUUUUCGUUGAGUUUAAUUGCCACUAGAAUUAUUUUCAAGUUAAGAAGAUAAGAGGAUUGACUUUUUAAACUUCAAAAUGAACUUCCCUGCUGUGACUGACUAUAUUCCCCAGUAUGGAGAAUUAUGAGGAACCUGUUGAACAGAAAAGUCUCUGACCAUAAUCAAGGUCACACAGUCAGAAGGCAUCCCAGCAGACACUCCACACUAGCCAAUGUGGAUUCAGAGACUGCACCCUUGAUUACUGUGUUGUUUGAUGAUACUAGUGCACCUUCAUGAAUCAGAACUUUCCAUAUAUGGAGGUUAUUCAGCAUGUCCUUUGUGAGUAAUGGUUACAGGUAUAAGGUGCAUACAGGUAGAUGUGAAGAAGGCAGUGGAGGAUAACAGGAAAAUGGAAGAGAAUGAGGAAAUGUAUGGUCCUGUGGAAGAAACACUGGAAUUAAGCCGGCAUCAAUUGCGGGCAAGGCUGAAUCCAGGUUUUGGGGGCCUGAAGCUUAAUCAAUGUGGAGGACCUCUUUGAGGAAAAGCAUGCAAAAUUACAAAUACAAAAUUAGUUUAAAAACAUCUGAGGAAGAUAGAAAACAUUUUAUCUUUCAAGAUAAAAAAAGAAAAGCUCUUUGCCAACAGAAAACAUAAUAUGCGGACUCUAUGGCUAUUGUUUCUGAAAAAUAUAAGAGAUGAUUACAUCACAUUGUGUAUUCUGUAGGAAAAACACUGUAAUGCUUAUAUGGCUAAUAAUGGAAUGAUCUAAGUCAAUAUAUUGUGCAGUUUUGAGUGACAGAAGAAUUACACCAUUAUUCUUUGUAUUUUGGUUUCUGCACUAAGUUAGUCAUGUUCACUGUUUCAUCAUCAAUUAUCAUUCACUCAUUUUAUAAAAUUUUAGCAUCUGCAUUUAAUGUUACUGUAUGGUUUCUGUUUACUACAGCUGGUUGCAAUAGACACAGAUGACAAUUUCAGAGCUGUGUAUAAAAGGUCACAAAAAGUAAACAUUCAAAACAGAAACAUCUUACUUCCAGAAAGUAUAAAAUUGACGUAUGAGUAAGAUGUCAAAAGUUAUGAAAACUGGAAUGUGUUCAUCUCAUUACAUGUAAAUGCAUCUAUUUGAAAAAUGUGUUU